rnacentral:rRNA from 1 species
UACGAAGGGGGCUAGCGUUGCUCGGAAUUACUGGGCGUAAAGCGCACGUAGGCGGCUUCUUAAGUCGGUGGUGAAAUCCUGGAGCUCAACUCCAGAACUGCCUUCGAUACUGGGAAGCUCGAGUCCGGGAGAGGUGAGUGGAACUGCGAGUGUAGAGGUGAAAUUCGUAGAUAUUCGCAAGAACACCAGUGGCGAAGGUGGCUCACUGGCCCGGUACUGACGCUGAGGUGCGAAAGCGUGGGGAGCAAACAGG